GCCCUAGCUCUGGUGUUUCAUUAAUCCCAUCUCCUUCUGUAUUUCUGGGACCACAGCUCACUUUCUUGAAAGGAGAUGGAUGUAACCCAGUUUCUUGAGACUGCUUUUGAGUAGGAUGUUCAAAGCAAGGAAAUGAUCCAACCUCAGAAUGUUACUUUUCAGUUGAACUAUAAUAUGGAGUCAAUCAACAUGGAUACUGAAUGGAUGUUUAUAGGGCCAGCAAGAAGCAGCCUGGGAAGGCCCAACCUGCUAAGUAGAUCUGAGUAUGAUAGUAGUGGGUGCAUGCACAUGCCAAAAAGGGAAGG